rnacentral:rRNA from 1 species
GACGAACGCUGGCGGCGUGCUUAACACAUGCAAGUCGAACGGGCCUGUCUUCUUUUUUGGGGGUGGGUUGAGUGGCGAACGGGUGAGUAUCACGUGAGUAACCUGCCCUUCGGUCCUGGAUAACCGCUUGAAAGGGCGGCUAAUACGGGGUGGUCCGGUUGGUCCGCAUGGGCUGGUCGGGAUAGAUUCACUGUUUUUGGUGUUUCGGCGGGGGAUGGGCUCGCGGCCUAUCGGCUUGUUGGUGGGGUGAUGGCCUACCAAGGCGGUGACGGGUAGCCGGGCUGAGAGGGUGGGCGGCCACACUGGGACUGAGAUACGGCCCAGACUCCUGCGGGAGGCAGCAGUGGGGGGUAUUGCACAAUGGGCGGAAGCCUGAUGCAGCGACGUCGCGUGAGGGAUGGAGGCCUUCGGGUUGUGAACCUCUGUUUCCGGUGGUGAAGGCCCUGUCCGUGUGGUGGGGUUGACGGUAGCCGGGGAUGAAGCGCCGGCUAACUACGUG